UACGGAAGGGGCAAGCGUUGUUCGGAAUUAUUGGGCGUAAAGGGCGCGUAGGUGGUUCUGUAUGUCUACCGUGAAAGCGUACGGCUCAACCGUAUUUUGUCGGUGGAAACUGCAGGACUUGAGGCUGGGAGGGGCUGGUGGAAUUCCCUGUGUAGCGGUGAAAUGCGUAGAGAUGGGGGAGAACACUCGUGGCGAAGGCGGCCAGCUAGACCAGUUCUGACACUGAGGCGCGACAGCGUGGGGAGCAAACAGG
rnacentral:rRNA from 1 species